UCCAGUUAAGUCCCAGAUUGUUCUGCCCUUCCCCACAGAGCCUCUCUCUCGCCAGGGGUGGGGCGCCAGAAUCCCUCUUCCCCAGUGACCCUCUGCUCCCGGCAGGGACCCUCUCGGGGUGACAGGAGGCCCAGGCUGGAGGGAAGAACUACCUAGCGGGACGACGGGAUGAGCAGAGCUGUGCGGCUGGGACUCGGCUUGCAGAGUUUGCUGGAGGGCCAGACAAAUGGCUCUGAGUGAAGGUGGAAGUGAUUUGUGCUUUGACCCAGUGCAUCGUUUAUUAUGUGGACAAUCAAGGGCCUUCCUGGAGGAGACGGCCAAAGGAAGAGUGAAUUUUCCAGAGGAACUGAAUUCUGAGCACAGGAUACAGAAACAGGAAAAUGGUGGGCUCGGCCGGAGCUCGGAGUCCAGGUUAUAAAUCUCAUCAAUGGAACGUAAUUCCCGAAGGGUAAACUGAGGCACAGAAUCCUGGCCAGAGAUGAGUCUGGGAAGGAGUCUCACUCCAUUCUCACCCCGGGUCACCAUCAGCAUCAGAUCUUCAGGCCUCCCUACUCCGGGCGGGUGCUGCAAGGGUCUCUCCGCCCUGAGAGGACGUGGGUCCGCGUCCUCGUCGGGUGCCUCCUCUCCAGGAGCGGGGACCCUUUCCCCAGUGCCCAGGUCCUCGGAGCCGGGCCGUCCCGCCUCUCUCGAACUCGCCCGGCUUAGCCGCCGACCUCUUCGCCGGUCCUCGCGCGCCCUCUGCCGGCGCCUCUUGGGAAGCGCGCCGCCGUCCCCGCCCAGGAUACACCGGCUGGUAAGACAGCCAGGCGCCUAGACAUGGAGCUCUGCAUGACCCUGCUUUUGGAACACCCCUCGCACCAGGCUCCCGGAAAACUCAUUUGUUUCUUCAAGAGUGGAGGUAUUGAGGACAAGAAAUGAACUUGAAGCAGGCCAGGCUCGGAGGAUAUGGGUCAUCUGUCACCUGGCGGGCACCUCCCUGGAGACCUUAGCAGGCAGGUAGAUGCUUGGGUCGGGAGGGCCAGGGGGCUCCUGAGACGGCAGGACCUUGAUUUUCUUUCUGAAGUCAACACCCGCGAGUCCCCAUGAGGCAGCUUGAGAAGGGGGAACAGGCCAGGGCUGAUUCCUUCCCAGUUUGCUGUUUGGCUGACAGGCAGGGAGGGUGACCUGAGCAUAUUCAGAUUUCCUGAUCAAACUGAACUAAAAGUACUCCCCACAGUGCCAAAUCAAGGUCAAAAGGAUGCGACAGAAUCCCUCAGAGACCACGAGGAGCUGGGGGAGGGAGUGUCUGAGGCCAGAACUCCGUGGGUCCUGUCGUGGAGUUCAGGCAGACAGAGCAGACAUGUUGAGACUGAGGGAGGAACUAUGUGCGGAGGUGUGCUCUGCUCUGGCAGGCCUCAGGAGUUCCUGCUGCCUUCACCCUAACUCCUUCACGACGGUGCAGAGAACUGGGCAUCCCCACUCAGAAGGAAACUAAUGAUUCAGAGCCCAGGUUUGAGCCAGGCUUGUGGGGCAUCCUUUACACUCCCACCCCCCACCCUCCACCCCGCACUCAGGAGGCCAGGUCUGGAGAAUUUUGAGCUCACACACGGCCAGGGUGAAACACUGUCUCAAAACCAAACUGAAUUCUGGUUUCAGGAUUGUCAGCAUCAGCAAUUCUCUCUGCAGACUCUGAGGGAAGCUGGAAAGGGGCUGGUGCAGAGUCCUACUGAGAGAUCUGAGUGACAUCCAUGUCACUCAUGUGUCAUGACUUAGGACAAAAGAAGAACCUCCCUGGGACUAGGGUUCUUUUUUUUUUUUUUUUCCUUAAAAGAUUUAUUUUUGGGCUGGAGAGAGAUGGCUUAGAGG